rnacentral:rRNA from 1 species
CAGUAGCCGCGGGAAUACGUAGGUGGCAAGCGUUGUCCGGAAUUAUUGGGCGUAAAGGGCUCGCAGGCGGUUUCUUAAGUCUGAUGUGAAAGCCCCCGGCUCAACCGGGGAGGGUCAUUGGAAACUGGGAAACUUGAGUGCAGAAGAGGAGAGUGGAAUUCCACGUGUAGCGGUGAAAUUCGUAGAUAUUGGGAAGAACACCAGUGGCGAAGGCGGCUCACUGGACCGACACUGACGCUGAGGCGCGAAAGCGUGGGGAGCAAACAGGAUUAGAUACCCCCGUAGUCCCUGUCUCUUAUAA